CGCCGUCCCCCGUUCCCCGUCCCGUCCCGACCGUACUACGACGUACCUACCGUACGGACGGACGAGCGAGUGGGAAGUCGUUGCACAAGUACGGGGGAAAACCCGUACGGAACUGCAGCGACGCCGCGNGAGCGAUGAAGCCUCGGGUGUAAGCUCUUCGGCAGGGAAGAGUAAUGACGGUACCCGCAGAAGCAGCUGCGGCUAGCUACGUGCCAGCAGCCGCGGUAAUUC
rnacentral:rRNA from 1 species